rnacentral:rRNA from 1 species
UUCCGGUUGAUCCUGCCGGACCCCACUGCUAUCGAGGUGGGACUAAGCCAUGCUAGUUGAGCGCACAGAACUAUGUCUGUGAGCGGCACACUGCUCAGUAACACGUAGCUAACCUACCCUUAGGACGUGGACAACCCCGAGAAAUUGGGGCUAAUCCGCGAUAGAUGUAAUGUCCUGGAAUGGUAUUACGUCCAAAGGUAUCCCAUACGUGUUUGGUAUACGCCUAAGGAUGGGGCUGCGGCCGAUCAGGCUGUUGGUGAGGUAAUGGCUCACCAAACCUUUGACCGGUACGGGCCAUGAGAGUGGUAGCCCGGAGAUGGACACUGAGACAAGGGUCCAGGCCCUACGGGGCGCAGCAGGCGCGAAACCUCCUCAAUGCACUUACGUGCGAAGGGGCUACCUCGAGUGCCACCUGAUGAAGGUGGCUUUUCCUAGGUCUAAAAGCCUUGGGAAUAAGAGGGGGCAAGACUGGUGUCAGCCGCCGCGGUAACACCAGCCCCUCGAGUGGUGGGGAUGAUUAUUGGGCCUAAAGCGUCCGUAGCCUGCCGUAUAAGUUUCCCGUUAAAUCCAGCGUCUCAAGCGUUGGACUGCGGGAAAUACUGUACGGCUAGAGAGUGGGAGAGGUCAGCGGUAUUCUGGGGGUAGGGGCGAAAUCCUUUGAUCCCCGGAGGACCACCAGUGGCGAAGGCUGCUGACUAGAACACGUCUGACGGUCAGGGACGAAAGCUGGGGUAGCGAACCGGAUUAGAUACCCGGGUAGUCCCAGCCGUAAACGAUGCAUGCUAGGUGUUGGGUUGGCCACGAGCCACCCCAGUGCCGCAGGGAAGCCGUUAAGCAUGCCGCCUGGGAAGUACGAUCGCAAGGUUGAAACUUAAAGGAAUUGGCGGGGGAGCACCACCAGGCGUGAAGCCUGCGGUUUAAUUGGAGUCAACGCCGGAA